GGGGGCGGGGCUCUGUGACGCACGGAUGACGUGUACUGGGGUAUAAAUAGUCGGCGGGCAGCGCGCUCUAGCACAGGAGCCGCCGGCAAGGGGGCAAAGAGGAAGCUCUAUCGAAGCCGGAGAGAAGUUGAAAUUACAGACAUCCUGCCAAAAUGAUUUCUUCAAAGCCCAGACUUGUUGUACCCUAUGGCCUCAAGACUCUGCUUGAGGGAGUUAGCAGAGCCAUUCUCAAAACCAAUCCAACAAAUAUCACCCAGUUUGCAGCUGUUUAUUUUAAAGAACUCAUUGUGUUUAGAGAAGGGAAUUCAUCUCUGGAUAUAAAAGACCUGAUUAAACAGUUUCACCAGAUGAAAGUAGAGAAAUGGGCAGAAGGAGUGACAGUGGAGAAGAAAGAAUGUAUCAAGGAACCCAUAAAAAUACCUCCAGUUCUCUGCGAACCUACACGGAUGGAAAAAUCCACAGACACAGAGGAGGACAAUGUAGCUGGACCACUAUUUAGCAACAAAACCACUCAGUUUCCAUCAGUUCAUGCUGAACUACAGCCUGAGGAGACAAGUGAAGGAGCUUGGGGUCCCUGUGACAAACCAACUACUCCUAAGACGACCACCCCACCCUCAUCACCACCUCCAGCGCCUGUCUCUGCCGAGUAUGCCUAUGUCCCGGCUGACCCAGCUCAGUUUGCUGCUCAGAUGUUAGGUAAUGUCCCAUCUACUUAUUCUGAAGUUUUAAUGGUGGACGUGGCAACAAGUACGCCUGCUGUUUCCCAGGACGCACUGAGUGCAGAGUUUGCUGAAGAAGUCGUGCUGUCUGCUCCUCUGGUGUGUUCUGGAGAGAUGGUAGAAGUGCAGGUUGUGAGCCAAACAUCUGCGCAGGUAGUUGUGGGUCCUAUUUCUGAGGCUGAACCACCAAAGGCUUCCUCAGCCCCCUUGCAGGGUGAACAAGAACCUCCUGCUUAUGAUCAAGCUCCUGAUACUCAGGUUACAUCAGCCUGUUGUAUAUCAUCCAUAUAUAACGAUGUGCCUGUCAAUGAAGGAGUUGUCUAUGUUGAGCAGAUACCGGGAUACAUAGUUAUCCCUUUUACUGAUCAAGUUGCUUGUGUUAAAGAAAUUGAGCAGUCACCACCAGGUAGUCCCAAACCUGUAGAACCCAAGACUAAAAUAUCUAUAGAGUCUCUGAAAAUUGUGCAGGUGGAGAAUCCCCAACACAAGUCCUCAGUACAUAUGGAGGCGGGGGCUACAGUUCGGCUCUCUAACACUGCUUUAGAUGGUCAGCCCGAGGUACCUGCAGAGGGCUUUCUCAAAGUAGCCUCUGAAAAUUCUCUGCACCUUGAAAUGGAGAUCGUUAACAUAAACCCCGAUGACCCUGGCCAGGAGGAGUCAGGGGGGAACGCUGCAUCCCAUUCAUCUGGUGACCCCUUCCCUCCUGCACCAGGAGGCUUUACUGAACCAGAAAUCCAAGCAGAUGGGGAAGCUGCACCUGAACAGGUUUGAUGAAGCCAGCACUAGCAACAAGCGAAGCAGGACAACCACCACCAUAUUCUAAUAUGUGGACACUUUAUUGUCUAACUGAUAUGAAUCAACAAAGUCGCCCAUCACCGCCACCUGCACCUGGGCCUUUUCCCCAAGCAACCCUGUAUUUACCUAAUCCUAAGGAGCCACAGUAUCUGCAAAACCCACCGAAAGUCACUUCUCCAACUUAUGUGAUGAUGGAUGACAGCAAGAAGAGCAAUGCCCCACCUUUUAUAUUAGUAGGCUCAAAUGUUCAGGAAGCACAGGAUUGGAGCCCUCUUCCUGGACAUGCUGUUGUGUCACAGCCAGAUGCCUUGAAGAGAUAUGCUGCAGUGCAAGUGCCCAUUGCUGUUCCUGCAGAUCAGACAUUCCAGAGACCUGCCCCAAAUCCCCAGAAUGCUAGUCCUCCUACAAGUGGACAAGAUGGCCCCAGACCGAAAAGCCCAGUCUUUCUUUCUGUUGCUUUCCCAGUAGAAGAUGUAGCUAAAAAGAGUUCAGGAUCUGGUGACAAACGUACUCCCUUUGGAAGUUAUGGUAUUGCUGGCGAAAUUACUGUGACUACUGCCCAUGUCCGCAGAGCAGAGCCCUAAAAGAAUGCUGAUAAUGAUGCUGUCUGAUUCAGCAUUCAAGGUGGAGUUUGUCACCAUGUGAACUGUAUCAAUAAACUUCCU